AGAGACCCAGGCUGGUAGAGGGAUGGAGAUCACUGCUCAAUGGAUCACCUUUGGAGAAUCAGAGGAGUGAUAUUGGCCAUUCAGCCUCUGGUCAACCUGAGACUGCCAACAAUGUGUGACUGGGCUCAACUGCCCCAGAUGCCC